CUAAAAGAAAAAAUAAAAUCCUUCAGGGACCGCCGGGCAGUCCGUGCUGAUCAGCAUUUGGACCUAUUUAGCGUUCAUGAGUUUCAGCUGCUGAAGUGACACUGGGACGAGAAGAUUCUGAAGAGGGCGACAAGACAUCAAAUAUUGUCGAUGUGUCGAACAAGGACGUGACUGCAAACUGGAGAGAACAAUGACAACAUGAGUGAAGAUGGAAACGGGGUGACUUAGGAGCUCAGGUGGACUUGACUGCUGCUGCUGGAGCCUUCAGCUGGGCGCCGGUGAGAAAAGGUGACCUACGAUUUGGAUGUAUGCACCGAGGAUCGACUGAAAGAGGGACCGACCGAUCGACCUUCCUUCCUCCCCCUUUCCUCUGUCCUCCCUCACCUUCUCUCUCUCUCUUCUCCAUCUUGAGACAGGAGAUGUUCACGAACAAGUUGAAUCAGACGUGAUAACAAACUGUUCCUCACUUUGUCUUCACAGUUAAUGGAUGACGGUCAAAAAGAAAGAAAAUGGAAACUAACACGACCAAUGACAGAAAAGAAGAAAAGGUUAGAAAACAAAAGCUCUUGGAUCCAGCAGGGUGGGAGCAGCAGCUGGACGGGCAACACUCAGAUCAAGCAACACUUUUGUUUCCAUCAGCACCGCCUGAAAUUCCAGAAAGUCAAACAGGUUUAAGUAAGACACAUCCACACCCCCUGCACUCAGAACCAGUCAGAGUGGCCUAAUCCUGGGGCAAAGUAAACAGGGUGUGACCUGUGAUUGCUCUAGUAUGAAUGAAACCUUUUCUUAUUGAAUGUGAAGUUAUAAUUUUUGAAGAAACUACAUUUCUCAAAAUCUAAAGUCAUUUCUUUCCACCACAAACUCAGAAAACAAUUAUCUCAGUUUCAAAAAUUAGAAAAUCAAGGCAAACCCUAAAUACAUUUGGCAAGUUUGCACAGGUACAGGUGGAAAACAAAUUGCAAAAACAAGCAAAAAAGGUGGAGCAAGGAAAGGAAAAGAGCCCAGUCAAGUUCCAACAAGCACAGCAGGAAUAAUCUCAGUUAAAAAAAAAACAUCUAUAGCAAUGAACCAACCAGUUUAUGUCAGUAAAUGCAGGGAAAUUAUGCUUCCGCUUAAGUACACCUCCAAGAACCAGUUUUAAACCACCUUUUAGACUACGUCAGCAUAUUUGAGACUCUUUAAAGCUGCAGAAAGAGAGAGACUUAGUCAUGAUUAAACAAUGCAGGUAGAUAAAUUGUAUUCCAGCUCUUAAGUAGCUUCUGGAACAUAAGGCGAAAACACUACCCCGGCCUAAUGUGACCUAAGGUGACAUCGCUGAUUAUGGAGUUUGUUUGUUUGUUUGUUUGUUUUAUUUCUUGUUAGUAAAACUUUGUUAUUUUAAGACAUUCUAUCAGCUAUUGAUAAAUUAAAUCUCAUACUAAUUCUCUGAUUAUCAAACCAAUGUCAGGGGUUGCUGAGUGGAUGUGGAGAAAAGGACUCAAACGCAGGACUCACGGUGAAGAUUCAGGGUGUUUAUUGUGAGGGACGAAUGACGAAAACAGGAGAUGGCUGACUGACUGAAUAACUGAAUGAACGGCUGACUGAUCUGAACUUGGAAGGCAAACAUGGGUCAUAGACAGCAGUGACAACAUCAAUGACGCGACGCCGACCAGGAGACAACUGAGGACUUAAAUACACUGGCUGAACAAUGACUGAUAGGUGACAGAACAAUGAGAUACACACAUGGACAGGAGGCUGAACAUGCUCAUGGGUGGCUCUUCAGCUGGACACACACAUGGCAGAUCCUGUGACCUUGUUACCGCCGUCGGACCGCAGCUAUUGGACUGCGAGGACGUGGCCGUGACGUGACUGUGGACUUUCAAAACAUCUGAUAGACCGUGUGCCUGUGUAUGUGUGUGUGUGUGUGUGUGUGUGUGUGUGUGUGUGUGUGUGUGUGUGUGUGUGUGUGUGUCAUUAGUAAAAAUAAAUAAAAUUAUAUAUAUUUUUGAAAUCCAUUUAAAGACAAUGUGAUGCUACUAUCUUUCUUACAUAAAUUGUGCCAGGGAAAUUACAUUUCCCUGGCACAAUUAAACAUUAAGUCUAUUGUUUUAAUGUUAAGAAAUUGCCUGCAUAUAUUUGUUGAAUAAACAGCCUUAUGUCAGAGCCUGUGUGUUGAUUAUUAUGUAUUAUUAUUUAAUUCAGCUAUGUGAUAUUGGCUGUGUUGAGGUUGCAGGAUGUAAAUCGGUAUUAAAAAAUAUUUUAAACAUGUGUUUUUUAAAGAUUACUUUGUAAAAGAUGAGAAUUUAACACGACAUUUGUAAAUGUAUUUUAUGUCUGCUGUAUGUAAGGGUGAUUGAGAGACAGCUAGUCACUAUACUCUUAAUUUUACCCUGUUUGAAGCUGUUACACAACUUGCUGCUCCUUCUCGUCAGUGUCACGUUGACUUCGAUCUCUUCUCUUCUGUCAAAGAAUACGAGCAGCUGCAUUAUGUCUACAAGCAAACAAUCUUAUUCGUAUACUUUUGUCCCUCUGCUGAGUACAUGACAGCCCUCGUUUUGUCUCGCAGACCUUUUAUUUGUCACAAUUUUACGUUUAAUUUGCGUGUGUGUGAGAGAGAGAGGAAGCAUGGCGGCAGAUGGGUGUGCUGGAGACUCCAAAAGCUGCUGCAAAUAGCCUUUCGGGGUCGGAGUUGGGGAAACAGAGCACAUACUGCCGAGCUUAAAAUCAUGGCAGUCUGUUCUUGUGAAACAUCUGGACUCUGUAAGCAUGACUGGCUCAUUUGUGUGUAUGAAAAUGUAGACAAAACAAUAAAAUAAAGCGACGGAACAUUCA
ensembl:lncRNA